rnacentral:rRNA from 1 species
ACGCAAUAGAUACCCAGGUAGUCCACGCCGUAAACGAUGGAUACUAGCUGUUGGAGGUAUCGACCCCUUCAGUAGCGAAAGCUAACGCGUUAAGUAUCCCGCCUGUGGAGUACGGUCGCAAGACUAAAACAUAAAGGAAUUGACGGGGGACCGCACAAGCGGUGGAUCGUGUUCUUUAAUACGAUGAUAAACGAAGAACCUUACCAGGGCGUUGUACAUCCAGGGAAGGCACUACGAAAGUAGCGUGUGCCUUUUGGUAACCCGUGUGACAGGUGAUGCAUGGCCGUCGUCAGCUCGUGUCGUGAGAUGUUUGGUUAAGUCCAUCAACGAGCGCAACCCUUGUGAAUAGUUGUAUUUUUCUAUUCAGACUGCCCGGUAACGGGGAGGAAGGAGGGGAUGAUGUCAGGUCAGUAUUUCCCUUACGUCCUGGGCUAGAAACACGAUACAAUGGCUAGUACAAUGCGCAGCAAAGCCGCGAGGUGGAGCAAAUCGCAUCAAAGCUAGUCCCAGUUCGGAUUGAAGGCUGAAACUCGCCUUCAUGAA